AUGAUCAUAUCACAUUGAAAGACCACUUUUCGUACGAUCACCGUAGUUAAGCAGCAUCGAGCCUGGUCUGUAAUUAGAUGGGUGACCAACUGAAAAUACCAGAUGUUGUAA